UGUGUGGGUCUGUUCACGUACACGCGCGCCUCUGUAAAUGACACAUAGCCCGAGCACAUAGUAUAAUAUACACGCUGUACAUAUGAAACACAAGCUUUUACAUCGCUUCGUUCCCAACGCCUUCGAGUGAAAACGUUUCUCGCUCUUUGACGACAGCAGCACAGUUCCGUCGUAAAAACGAGACAGGAAAUUACAAAACGACGUUUUUUUCAAAGACUAAAGCUCUGCGUCGGGACUGAAGAGUUCUUUUGAGCGGAGGUUCGAAGUUUUCAUCGAUGAAAAAUGAAAGCAGUCAAUUUUCAUAUGAUUGUUUACCUUUGAGAGAAAAUCAGACGUCAUUAGUUUGAAAGCUUUGAAAAACUUGUAAAAACCUUCGUUUUAAUCUCUCUUCGUGUUUCAUCAACCGUCUUUGAUUUACAUGAAAUUAUUGAGCAACAAGAAACUGACAAGGCGUCGGCGAAGAUGAAGAUCUCGUGCGUUGCUUAAAACUCUUAUGAUUGAGACAAACACUUUUGUGGCGAGAGAACGUUGUAGAUUUAGGAACAAUAUUUAUGUGAAGAACGCGCAAUUAUCAUCCAUUAGUGAGGUGGAAAAUGAUUGAGCAUUUCCGGAGUUGAGUGAAAAUGUGUGAAAUAUAAUACCUUUGAAAAAACUUAAUGAAGAAUGGUUAUCAGCCUCGAAGAUCACACUCGAUACGCAUCGAAUUCAGACCGGAAGGAAAAUAUAAAAUGAUCGAAAGAUAAGAAUUCGUUGUUGACGAUUAUCCACUCUUUUUGUAUUAGUUUGAUACUCCUGCAGCACAUCUACGAUCUUCACGAGUCUUUCGCUCCCAAAGAUCUUGCGCCACUGCAAAGUGUUUUAUAGUUUCAGAGUACUCGAACUGCACUCAAAAUGUAAUGAUUCGGGCGAAUACCAGUUCGUUGUAAAAAAAAAAACAGGAGAAUAAAAAUAGUCGCAGUGCAGAGCGAACGAUAAAAAUGAGAGGAAGGAAAAAAAGAAACGAGAAGAAUAUCCUCUUUCUCGAGGUUAACGUAAUUCCAGUUGAGAGAACGAGCAUCGAAGUUUUCUUCUGAAGGCAAAAAUUUGUGAAAUUCUUCCAAUCGCAAUACGAAUUUAGGGAUCGAGCGAAGAUCCGUUUACGUGAAUUAACCGAAAUUUGUAUCGCAAUGGAACUCGAUGAAAGA